UAACACGUGGGUAACCUGCCCCGAUGACCGGGACAACCCGAGGAAACUCGGGCUAAUACCGGAUGUGCUCGCGAGUCACAAGGCUCGCGCGGAAAGGAAGCUUCGGCCUCCGCAUCGGGAUGGGCCCGCGGCCCAUUAGCUUGUUGGUGGGGUAAUGGCCCACCAAGGCUGCGAUGGGUAGCUGGUCUGAGAGGACGAUCAGCCACACUGGGACUGAGACACGGCCCAG
rnacentral:rRNA from 1 species